rnacentral:rRNA from 1 species
CCUACGGGAGGCAGCAGUAGGGAAUAUUGCUCAAUGGGGGAAACCCUGAAGCAGCAAAGCCGCGUGGAGGAUGAAGGUUUUCGGAUUGUAAAAUCCUUUUGUUAGAGAAGAAAAUGACGGUAUCUAACGAAUAAGCACUGGCUAACUCCGUGCAAGCAGCCGCGGUAAUACGGAGGGUGCAAGCGUUACACGGAGUCACUGGGCUUAAAGAGCGCGUAGGCGGGUAAGUAAGUCAGAUGUGAAAGCUUAUGGCUUAACCAUAGAACUGGAUUUGAAACUGUUAGUCUAGAGUAUGUGAGAGGUAGGUGGAAUUCGUGGUGUAGCGGUUAAAUGCGUAGAGAUCAAGCGGAAUACUCAUUGCGAAGGCAACCUACUAAAACAUAACUGACGCUGAUGCGCGAAAGCGUGGGGAGCAAACAGGAUUAGAUACCCGUGUAGUC